AUUGAACGCUGGCGGCAGGCCUAACACAUGAAAGUCGAGCGAGCGGCUGACGGGUGAGUAAUGUAUGGGGACUGCCCGAUAGAGGGGGAUAACUACUGGCUACGGUAGCUAAUACCGCAUACUAUCGGAUAACCCAUAUGGGAUUAGCUAGUAGGUGAGGUAAUGGCUCACCUAGUCGACGAUCCCUAGCUGGUCUGAGAGGAUGAUCAGCCACACUGGAAAUGAGACACGGCCCAGACUCCUACGGAUGCAGCAGUGGGGAAUAUUGCACAGUGGGCGCAAGCCUGAUGCAGCCGUGCCGCGUGUAUGAAGAAGGCCCUAGGGUUGUAAAGUACUUUCAGUCGGGAGGCGUUACCGACAGAAGAAGCACCGGCUAACUCCGUGCCAGCAGCCGCGGUAAUAC
rnacentral:rRNA from 1 species